rnacentral:rRNA from 1 species
AGUCUAAUGAUAUUUUAUAUUAGAUUCUCUCUGCUCAAUGAAUUUUAAUUUAAAUAGCCGCAGUACUUUGACUGUGCUAAGGUAGCAUAAUAAUUUGGCCGUUAAUUGCGGUCUAGAAUGAAUGGAUAUACUUAUAAAUUUCUGUCUCUUAUAAUCCAGAUUUAACUUUCUUAUAAGGUGAAAAUUCCUUUUUAAUUCAUAAUAGACGAGAAGACCCUCAGAGUUUUAACUAUAAUUUUAUCCAAUGUUUUUGUUGGGGCAACAUGGGAAUCUUAUCUUCCUAGAUAUAUUUUAUUCUUUACAUGACGAGUUUAUAUUUUGAACGAUUACAACUACCUAAGGGAUAACAGCAUAAUUUUUAAAAAAGAUUGUGACCUCGAUGUUGGAUUAGGUAUAUAUGAUAUGAGUUAUAUCAUUUUAUAGUUCUGUUCGAACUUUUUCACCU